rnacentral:rRNA from 1 species
GAAACAGGUUAAUAUUCCUGUACUCGGUGUUACUGCGAAGGGGGGACGGAGAAGGCUAUGUUGGCCGGGCGACGGUUGUCCCGGUUUAAGCAUGUAGGCGGAUGUUCCAGGUAAAUCCGGAACGUUACUAACGCUGAGGUGUGAUGACGAGGCACUACGGUGCUGAAGUGACAAAUGCCCUGCUUCCAGGAAAAGCCUCUAAGCAUCAGGUAACAUCAAAUCGUACCCCA